rnacentral:lncRNA from 1 species
UAUAUGCGCAGUACAGUUGGGUGCCACCCCUUAGAUUUAAAACAGUAAGUCCGAUCCAAUGAAAUCGGCAGGAAUUUAUUGUAUGUUGUAUGAACCGCUUAUGUUGUAUUAACAAAUAAGUCCAGCGAUCUACAAUGGUUGUAAGGGACACUGACUUUAUUUUGUUUACAAGAGUAAUUUUUUGCCCCCCCAACUUUUGAUCAUAAUUUAAAGACUAAAGUGCAAUCUGUAAUGAUCACUAAGGACAUGUGAUUGUAUGAAAUUAUGUUAUUUAUUUCCAUUGAAAAGAGUAAAGCUGAUCUAAAUGCCUUUUCAUUAUGCUGCCAUGGCAGGUUAUGUUGCAUUAUGUACCAAAUUAUCAUCGGCAGGGCACUGCGCCUUCUGUUGUAUUUUAAAAUGCAGUAAGUCCAAUCUAUAAAGUUUGGCAGGAAUUUUUCUCAAUCUUUGUCACCUUUUCAUCAUUUUGUUGGAAUGUUUUUCAAUGAAAGUAAGCCUGAUCUGCAAUGAUUGAUUGGUGUGUUAUUCCCCAAAGCUAUUGUUAAUGGCUUUAUGUUGAAUUGAAAUAGCGUAAAAUGUUUGAUUGGUGGAGAGACACAGUGACGUUUUGAGACAAUAAAAGAACUGUUUACGCUCUGAACUGUGAUUUUAGAAAGUAAGUCCAAUCAAUCUGAUUGGCAGAGACACCUCAUUAUUAUGUUGUCUUCAAAUAUAAAUGCAGUAGUAGUAACAUUAUUUUGGAUUUUAAAGACACAGUAAAUUCGACCUUUAAUGGUUUGCCUGGAUGCUUUACAUCAAAACUGAACUUUCCAGCCUUAUUUUGGUUUUUAAAAAGUAAUCGUGAUCUGCAGUGAUUGGUGUGCACAUAUGUUCUGUACCCCCUGUUUCCUCACAGCUUAGUCUUCAAUACUUGAUUCCAAUUUGCAACAGUAAGCAGGAAAUAUUCUGUUUGUAACCAUCACAUGUUAUUUGUGUAAUCAUGUUUUGGAUUAAGUAUGACGUGUAAAAUGAUCAGUUGGGUUUCUUUGAAAUGUUGUCUCUGCAUCACAAAUCAUGUGUACAGCUCUAAUCUGCCAGGAUUAGCUUAUAUUUGUGACAUCAUUUCUUUUUCAGAGUAAUUUCCCAAGUUGGUCUUUGAUAUUUUAUGUAGUAAGUCCAAUCUGAAAUGGUUGGCAGGGACACUGGACACUGACUUUAUAUGCUGUAUUAACUUUGUAGCCUUAUCUUGAGUUAGGAAAACCUGUUAAUCAAUCUGCAUUGGUUAACAGAAACACUGUGCCUCCCUUUGGAUUUUAAAAACAGUAAGUCCGCUCUUUAGAGAUUGGCAAAAAUUUGUUGUGCAUUGUAUUAAAAUCAUGUGCUGUAUAAAUAAGUCCAAUCUGCAACUAUUGGCAGGGACGGUGCCUUCAUUUUGCUUUGAAAAGUACGUUCUUGCACCCACAACCCUUGAUCAUAAUUUAAAUCAUGAAGGCUGAUGUGUUGUGAUCACUAGGGACAUUAUUUAUUUCCACUAAAAGGAGUAUGUUUGAUCUGAAUUCUUUUUUUAUUAUGCCGCCAUGGCAGGUUUUUUGGCAUUCAUCUUCAGGGACACUGUGGAAUUCUUCUAUUUGUAACCAUCACAUAUUAUUUGUGUUACCAUGUUUUGGAUUAAGUAUGAUGUGUACAGUGAUCAAUGAGGAUUCUUUCAAAUGUUGUCUCUGCAUCAUGAGUAAUUUUUACAGCAUAGCCUAGCUGUUUGUGACAUCAUUUCUUUUCCAGAGUAAUUUCCCAAGUUGUUCUUGAUUUGUAAAGUAGUAAGUCCAAUCUGAAAUGGUUGGCAGAAACACUGACUUUAAAUGCUUUAUCCAAAAGUGAUGUUAUAGCCUUUUCUUGAGUUGGGGGCCUCUCUUGGAUUUUAAAAUACAAAAUUCAGUCGACAGGAAUUCAUUGUGUGCUGCUUUAACAUUACAUGUUGCAUGAAACAAUUAAGUCCAAUCUGCAAUGGUUGGCAGGGACGCUGACUUUAUUUUUUUGCACGCUUAACCAUUGACCACAAUGUAAAGCACAGUGCAAUCCGUAAGUCCGAUCAAUCUGAUUGGCAGAAGCACUUCAUUUUAAUGUUGUUUUCGAAUUUACAUGCAUAGUAGAAAACUAAUUUUUGUACUUUAAGGACACAGUAAGUCCAAAUUUUUAUGGUUGGCACGGAUGCAUCAUAUCACCACUGCAUUUUCCAGCCUUAUUUUGCAUUGCCCUUUGGUGAUGUUACAUGUAAGUUGACCUCCACUCCCAGUUAUCUCACAACCUCAUCUUAAAAACUUGAUUCCGAUGUGCAAAAGUUGACAGCAAUUCUUAUAUUCUUGUAACCAUUACAUGUUAUUUGGGUAACCAUGUUUUGGAUUAAAUCUGAUCUGUAGAAUGAUCCAUGGGCAUCACAGAUCAUCUGUAAUCUUAAAAGUGUAAGUCCAAUCUGCCAUGAUUGGCAUGCACAUUUGUGACAUCAUUUAUUUUUCAGAGUAAUUUCCUAAUUUGUUCUUUUAUUUUUAAUGUACAUGUAGUAAGUCCAAUCUGAAAUGGUUGGCAUGGUAUGCUGUAUCCAAAAUUAGUUUUAUAGUCUCGUCUUGAAUUGGGAAAAGCAAUUCAGAUCUAUCUGAUCAACAGGACACUGACACUAUUUUUAAGGCAUUUUGCCAUCCUUUUAUAAUCUGUAGUGAUUUGCAAAGACACAGUGAUAUUAUAAUUACCCUCCAAAGGAAUAUCUACACCACAUCUUGGCUUGUAAUUAAAACAGUAAAUCUGAACUGCAAUGACCGGCAAAGAUGUUACUUAUUAUGUCAUUCCCAAAAAUAAUUGUUACAGCCUGAUUUCUAAUGGGAAAAAUGAUCUGCAGAAGCAUUGUGAUCUAUAAUCUAUGGUUUAAAAAUGAUUUUGAUCCAUGUGGUCAGCAGAGACAAUUUGACACUGUGCUGCUUUCAAGAUCAAACUAAUUCUCCAACCUCAUUUUGGAUUAUUAUUGAAACAGUAAGUACAAUGGGAUCGGCAGAGACAUUGUGCAUUAUAUCACAAUUUUAUCAUUAGCCUUAGUUUGUAUGAAAGAAGUAUGUCUGAUCGUCAUUGGCCCAGUGAUCGGCAUGCAUUCUUGUGAGUUCAAGCCCCGUCAUCUACUAGUCUCACCUUAAAAUUUGAUUCCAAUUUUUCCAGUAGUCGGCAGGGAAUGUUCUAUUUCAGUUGUGUAACUAUCCCACAAAAUUUGUAAAGCCUUUUUUCCUUAAAAUGUAAUUCUAACCUGUAAUAAUCUGCAGGAAUUCUUUAUUCAUUGUCUUCAUAGUGAGCCAUCUGUAUAGCCUCAUUUUCUUGUCCAAUCUCUCAAGAUUAGCAUUCGUAUUUGUGACAUUUUGUCACUGAAGUAACUUUCAAGUUCAGUCUGAAAUGAUCAGCAGGGUAAUUUAACACCACGCCUACUAUGGAUGCAUUGGAAUGCAUGUGAAUAAUUUAAAGUAUAACCUAGCUAGGCUAGGCCAAGGGUUUUGUAUUACAGGUUCACUACACCAGGAAUCUGAAGUUUUUGUCAACAAGAAGGAUGACCUGAGAAAGAAGACUGACUGCUACCUUAUCAAAGAUGAAACCAAGGAACUGAAAGCAGGGAGGAGGACCAAUGGAUGACUGAUGACUCUGCUUGCUGAGCAUGCCCAUACUCACUUUUGAGACCAUGAAAGCCUAGAUGAACUGGAUAGAUGAGAGAGAAACUGCCCUGCUUAGCUUGCCCCACGCAAAUAUAGAAACCUCAGGGACUGGAGACAAGGGGAAGACUGGUAAUUCUGGCCUGUGUCUUGAACAUGUCUUUCUUUUUCUUCAGGUAAACCCAAUAAGAUUGAGCAAAAAUUAUCUAGAAAUCUCUCAGAAUUGUUCCCAUCAAUGUGAGUUUCGUAUAAUUCUUCAUGCUCGCACGAGUCGUCUAACCACCCGUGGCUCUUUGCAGAUCUGUCUCUUGCUGGGUUUGACUGUGCUUUGAUGUUUCAGGUUGAUUACUCUGCAGAUAGAAUCAUCAUUUUGUUGAGCCUCCUUCAGACUGGAGCCUUGCAGACAACUUGUUCCACAUCUGCCAGGGUCAUCUGCCUCAUCUGUUUUGCUCUAAUCGAAGGGGCUCUCCUCACUACUGAGGUGGUUCUGGGACGUUUGCAAAAAAGACUUCACAAUUCGGAUGGUAGCAACAUUACCGUUGGCCUGAACGGUGUCAGUUUAUUGACGAGAGUAUUGAAUGAGGCCUGGCACUCUGGUGACCAAACAAAGAGUGGGUCUUUGGUGCCUCGCUUUCCUCCAGUUAACGCAAACAAGAGGGCUGCUAUCUUGGAAUAGUUCCGGACGAACCUCCUGUAGUAACCGGUGAGGCCAAAAAAAUCCUCAAACAUCACGCUUUGACUUGGGCAUGGGCCAAUUCUUGACAGCUGAAAUCUUGUCCAGAUCAGUAGCGAUGCCAUCUGCUGACACAACAUGGCUGAGAUAUUUCACGCUGCUUCGGAGUAGGUGGCACGUUGAUGGCUUUAACUUCAGAUCGUGCUCACGCAACCAUGAACACCUUAGAUAGUUGACGUACAUGCUCUUCCAACGUUGUGUUGAACACGAUAAUGUUGUCCAGGUAGAGCAAGACACUCAGUCAAAAGUCAAGUCGCUGAAAAUUGUGGUCAUCAACCUCUGAAAUAUGGCGAGUGCGUUUGUCAGGCCAAAGGGCAUUCUCUUGAACUCAUACAGUCCCAUUGGUGAAAGAAUGCUGUCUUUGGUUGAUCCUUACUGGAAACUUAGACCUGAUGAUACCUUGAAGUAAGAUCUAGACAAGAGAAGUAUUUGGUAUGACAGAGGGCAUCUACUGCGUCAGUAGAACAGAGCACUUCUUCCCCAACAUAACAAUCUCCACGUCACUCACUGGCCCAACUAGGUCACCAUUCUCUUUAAUUGUCAUCUCUUGGUGGUGUUGGUUCCCUCAAGGGUGUUUCUGAAGUGGAAAGAGGCGGGCUUGUAGAAAACUUACAAAAACCCACUGAUCACCCUGCAUCAGAGGGUCUCCCCAGUUUAAUGGAGCUGAAGUUAAGACGUCGGCUGUGCUUGUCUCAGCUGUGGACAUCUGCAGAUGAAAUGGCAUAAGCUGUCACAGUUGUUGCAGGACUUUGGUUGGUCGCUGAAUCUUGGUGCAGGAUGGAUGACUGCACCAGACUGCUGAGGUUUCCGUGGCGGCAUCACCUGGGAUCUUCUUUCCAACCUUUCGACACAUUAGCCUAAUUUAUUGCAUCUGAUUCUCGAGAACUUGGUUCAGUGUAAUGGUCUGCCUUUCCAUCACCUUGGCAAUAUCAGCAAAGUUCACACCGGUGUCUCGUCUCUUCUGUGUGUUGUCAGGCUUGUUGGAUGGAGGUGGCAUCAAAUUCUUGGAGAUGUGUGCCCCGGUAGGGAUUUGCAUCAUCAGCUGAUAGUGCUGUCGCAUUCGUUCCUCCUGUCAGUGCUUCUCCUCAGCAACAUACGAUCCUCAGCUCUGCCCAGAGUUCUUUAAAACUCAUGUUGAGAGGCCACAUGGGUGCAAGUCUCUGUCUGCAUUGGUCGUCACAAAGCCCUUUCAGGAACUAGGUGGUGAGGAUGCUGUCCCUGGAGUCACCAAACAGAUUCUGGCAGCCUUACUGUCUCCCCUUCUCUUGAUACGCCUCAAGAGCGAUGGCAUACUCGCUUGCUGAUUCACCACCUUUCUAAACCCUCGCGUAAAAUCGUGUCCUUGGUGAGAAGGUUAAGUUAUCUUCCCAAACUCCUCCAAAAUUCAGCAAAAGCUGCCCGCUCUGCUGUGACUUCAGAGGGACUACGGCUUUCAAGAUUUAGCACAUCGUGAACUCUCCCAGCUGUGUUACGCACCACCUCGUGGAACUGGACUCUUCCUUUGCUGCCCUUCACCUCUAGCAGGUAACACAUGUCUCACAUCCAAUCUUCAUCUUGAGUGCUCUUCUCACGUCCAGUGAAUGUGGGGACUCCUUUCACUCGGUGUGUUGUGACAGUCCUCGAUUAACCAGCCAGUGUGGGGUAAAUGUCCAUGGAGAUGGGGUCGAAACCGAUGAUCUGUUGGGGUGUAAGCUGCCUGUGUGGUGGUGGCAGUGCCGUGCUUUGUUGUGUGGCGGUUGCUGAAUGAGGCAUUAACACCGGUGGAGUGUCUGACAUUUGGAGUGUGAAUCUUGAUGGACUGGCUGGAGUCUCCAAAUGCUUUGUUGGUUUGACCAGAUUUGACUAUUGACCACAGGAAAAAAAAGGAUCCAUUCCUAUGCAAGAAAAAAAAAAGACCUGGCUAAGUUCCAUAAAACAGCAUCCCUACCCGGGUCUUCCACCCCCCCAAAAAAAAAGUAACAAGGAAAAAUGGAACACUAAUGAAAAAGACAACUCUGGGGGAAAUCACUCGCACAAAAUACUAACUAACUAGGGAUCAAUUAAGGACAAAUUGCAAGGUCUUUCUAAAAAAACAAUGAGACAGGACAGAAAGUGUUUGAUCUCAGGAAAAAAAUUCAAAAGAAAAAAAACUACUUUAUUCAAUAAUGGAGAACCAAUCUGGAAAACAAAAUCUAUAAUCUGUAAUUGACUUUUUAGCCAAAUAUGAACUUAAGGAAAACUACUCUUUUAGGAAUUCAGCGGAAACUAUACAUGACCAAAAAAUAAAUAAAAUGGAAAAUUAAAGAAAAGCAACCCCCCAAAAAAAAUGAAUUGAAAAUACCUCAGACCAUAAAUCUGAGACCUGGAAUUUCAAAUUUUAAACUUCACACAGUAGACCUUAACCUUUCAAUAAAAGACUAACAAUAAAUCAGCAUUUUUGUGUCCCUGUUACAUCUGACCUUUGUUUGUUGUGAAUUCAUCACUCUUGCAAAUUAGAAAAUGUGUUUUACAAAAUCAUAUGUCAGAUGUGACAGGGACAGGAAAAAAUGGACCCCUAAUUUCUAGAAUUACCCAUUACCUUGAAAAUCUUACCGAUUUAACACAUUAACCCAAGGUGGUUGAGAAGUUUUUAUUUGACAGAAAGUGUGGCAGCUGAACUGUCAGUGCAGCCUGAAAACCUGGAUAAUGGAUCAUCAAGACAGCUCACUUCAUGACGGACAUGUGAGCAGGAAACCUGGAGAUGAUAACUUGCAGAUUACUUGAGACCUGGAUGCUUUCUCAGCUCCUGUUUUCUCAGUCUUGAGAUGUUUAGGGGAUUUGGACUGCCAAACCGGGAUGUUUCUGACUGGAUGAUGACGAAUUAUCUACUCCCCAUCAGGACAAAGAAUAUUUUGCCUCUUAAUCCCAUCAUAGACAAAAUAAAGGAGCCGGAAGCAGGGAGGAGGCCCAACCGAUGAACUGAUGACCCUGCUUGUUGAGCAUGUCAUUACUGAUUCUCAAGAAGAUGACAUGACAAACAUCAAAUGUGGAUAAGACUCACUGGAUGAAGAAGAGGCUGCUUCCAAUGCAGAAGGAUGAAUUACAAUUUUUACUAUUCUGGAAGCAGUGAACUGGGAUCAGUGGCAGUAUCAUUGGUGGUUAAGUGCUAAUGCAGAUUGUAAAAAAGGCAGUUUAAGUUUUAAAAUGAGAUGCCAACAGGGACCCAUUUCUAAUAAAUAGAAGUCAACAAUAAUUCAGUUUGAAAAGAUUAAUUUUGCAAAAGAUACUUUGAAAAGCAAGUUUCAUUUUUAAUAAACCUACAAUAUUACUGAAAUUUUGAAGAUUCCCAUGUUUUUAGGUAGAAUGAGCCAUUUGUAGCUACCAAAACCAACCAAACAAAAAAGUUAUUUUUAAAAUCAAACUUGGUCUAAAGAAAUGGUGCAAAAUUCCAAAUGAAGAUAUAUAAUGUAGCAUGCUGUCACUUUCAGUUGUGCAACUGUUCCUUUGAUCAGCUGAAUUCCUCAUUUUUUACUUCUCAUGUUUGGCAUUGCAAACUGAAACACAUUGCAAAAAAAUUUAUGCAGUUGGGAAAUUCCUUCCUUUUUAUUUUCUAAAAUUCUAGUCAUACCUAUAUUUUGAAUAACGUAAUUUAAACAAGGUCACUUCAUCUUUCGAAGGUGUUGAGAGAAGCACUUUUGGGGGGAUUUUAAUGAAUCCCAAUCUUAACCCGAGGUGCGCGCAUCUUUCCAGAUUGUUGUAAACACCCUAGUAAUUUGUAAACAGGCUAGUAGCCAAAGAAGCACUUAAUGUGUGGCUUUACAACCUAUGUUUGAAUUAACGUGUGUCAGGUGCACUUCAAAACAUUACUUAGCAACUUCAGCCUCAACCCAUUAAAGAAACCUAGAAUUGCUUACGUUAACUCAAAAGACGUUGUAUUUCUGGAGCAAAAAUGGACUCUUCUUCAAUAAUUUAAGCAAUUUUGUCUAUUCAAAUUUAGAAUAACCAAAAUAAUAAAUGAUCAAUUUUUCCUUAAGUUGAACAGCAAGUCCCCCUAAAUUAAACUCUAUCUUUAUACUUCUUUUUUAAGAAUGAAUGAACCAAAUGAUUGGGUUAAAACCUUUUUUAGAGAUAAUAACGGUUUGUACUUAUGAGAAGUUGCACCUCCAUAAAGUUACACCUUUAAAAUGUUUUGUUUUGACAGGGUUUGUCUUGGGAACAGUUUUUGUCUAGUGAUGCAUUCAGAAAUUCAUUUUGCAUCUUAACAUAUUCCUAUUUUUAAGAUUUAAUUUAAGUUUUAAUGUUAAAGGUGAAAAGUAAACAAACUUUAAAAAUUGAGAACAGAGACAAAAAGGAAGAAUUUUUGCCUGAUAUCUUCUCAUCUGAUUGACAGAACUACUUUAUGGAUCAUUUUAAGAAUUAUCUUUAUUGCUAGGAAAUGAGAUUUGCCCACUGAUGCAGUAAAAUGUCAAUAUUUACAAUAAUCAGUUAAACUGUAAGAUAACAUAAAAAUUAUACUAGGUGAAAUUUUUAAGGAAUAGGUAAAGAAACCUCCUGCAGGUAAAUAAGCCCCCUGCCUCUUUUGCGCAUAUAGACCUGCUUGUAUCAUAUAAUGGUGUCAUGGUGAUCUGUAUUCAGAGAUCUGUAGGCCCCUACCAUUAAAAUUUGAAAGAAUCUUUCUUCAUUAAGAGAUAAAAUAACAUGUAUAACAUUCAAAUUACAUUGUGUCUAUCCUUUUGCAAGGCUUAUUGCAUGAGUGGUUUCUGUUAAACAGUUUUAAGUUUUUGUUUGUGUUCUCCUUUUGAGUUCGGUGGAUGUUCAGGCACUUUUUUCUUUCUGCAUCUUUGAUUUUGAAGAAACGUUACUUCAGCAAAAGGAUAAACACACUGUAUGCAGAGUGUCACUAUUACUCAAUACAAAAUCUUGUGUGUGUCAUGCGGAUUAACUAAUUCAGUCUUGACAAAAAAUAUUUUUGGCAGAUGGGCUUACAUUGCUAGUAGAUGUCAGAACUUAUUAAAGAAACAUUUUUCUUAUCUAGGACAAAGGGCUUCAUUUUAAAGCAAAAGUCCCAAACAGUUUUAUUUUUUCUCCUCAUAGAAAGGUAUUGUUUCUCAAAUAACUCAUACCCCACUUUUGGGCCUUUCAAAGUUUCACCUAUAUAUU